UGCCAGCCGCCGCGGUAAUACUAAAGGUGCGAGCGUCAAUCGGAAUUACUGGGCGUAAAGCGCGUGCAGGCGGUUUGGUAAGUCAAAUGUGAAAUCCCAGGGCUCAACCCUGGAACUGCAUUCGAUACUGUCAGACUAGAGUGUAAGAGAGGAUUGUGGAAUUCCGGGUGUAGCGGUGAAAUGCGUAGAUAUCCGGAGGAACAUCAGUGGCGAAGGCGACAAUCUGGCUUAACACUGACGCUCAGAUGCGAAAGCGUGGGGAGCAAACAGGAUUAGAUA
rnacentral:rRNA from 1 species